rnacentral:rRNA from 1 species
CCUACGGGUGGCAGCAGUGGGGAAUAUUGCACAAUGGGCGCAAGCCUGAUGCAGCCAUGCCGCGUGUGUGAAGAAGGCCUUCGGGUUGUAAAGCACUUUCAGCGGGGAGGAAGGCGUUAAGGUUAAUAACCUUGGCGAUUGACGUUACCCGCAGAAGAAGCACCGGCUAACUCCGUGCCAGCAGCCGCGGUAAUACGGAGGGUGCAAGCGUUAAUCGGAAUUACUGGGCGUAAAGCGCACGCAGGCGGUCUGUCAAGUCGGAUGUGAAAUCCCCGGGCUCAACCUGGGAACUGCAUUCGAAACUGGCAGGCUAGAGUCUUGUAGAGGGGGGUAGAAUUCCAGGUGUAGCGGUGUAAUGCGUAGAGAUCUGGAGGAAUACCGGUGGCGAAGGCGGCCCCCUGGACAAAGACUGACGCUCAGGUGCGAAAGCGUGGGGAGCAAACAGGAUUAGAUACCCGAGUAGUC